GAUGAAGAACGUAGCGAAAUGCGAUAAGUAAUGUGAAUUGCAGAAUUCAGUGAAUCAUCGAAUCUUUGAACGCACAUUGCGCCCCCUGGUAUUCCGGGGGGCAUGCCCGUCCGAGCGUCAUUACAACCCUCAAGCUCAGCUUGGUAUUGGGCCCCGCCGCUCCGGCGGGCCCUAAAGUCAGUGGCGGUGCCGUCCGGCUCCGAGCGUAGUAAUUCUUCUCGCUCUGGAGGUCCGGUCGUGUGCUCGCCAGCAACCCCCAAUUUUUUUCAGGUUGACCUCGGAUCAGGUAGGGAUACCCGCUGAACUUAAGCAUAUCAAUAAGCGGAGGA
rnacentral:misc_RNA from 1 species